CUCGCGAUUUAUAAAAAAAAACUAUAUGUAAGUUAUCCCUGUACCCCCAGUAGUAAGUGAUGUGUUGAGUUGAAGUUAUUGUUGAUGGUUGUUGUUAUAAAAUGUGAUUCUGGCCAGACUACGUGAUGUGCCCGCGGUUUUUUAUAUACUCGUGAUUUUGAUUUGAUUUUGAAAUGCCUGUAUUUGUUUGCACUAAUACCUAUAUUUUUGUUUUACAGAUCUAUUUACCAGGUUCUUUAACUGUUUUUUCCCUGUUCUAAUGUUUUGUGUUUUUUUUUGUGUUUUUUGAAACCCCCUGGAAAGAAGAUGUUGGUGUUCUAGUUCUAUAUUGUGGCGGAGACGUGAUGAUGUGGAUAGCUGCAUGUGUAUUAUUGGUUGGAAACUGGCAUGAUGGAGCAAUUAGACCAUGGAGGAGUGAUGAAGCGGAAGUGGAUAAGACUAUCAGUUCUUCGAGAGUCCCAGUGCCUAUAUACUCGCAAGAAGGAUAUGGUAUGGAAUAGCUUAGUACAUCUAUGUGCUGGCAGAUUUGUACAACAAUAAGUUGUUCCAGUGUGAAGAAAGAUGCGUGUCAUAAGACCAUGGAGGAGUGAUGAAGCGGAAGUGGAUAAGACUAUCAGUUCUUCGAGAGUCCCAGUGCCUAUAUACUCGCAAGAAGGAUAUGGUAUGGAAUAGCUUAGUACAUCUAUGUGCUGGCAGAUUUGUACAACAAUAAGUUGUUCCAGUGUGAAGAAAGAUGCGUGUCAUAAGAAAAUUGGGUUACUAUAAAAAGAUUUUUGGAGAAGACGUUCUUUGUGAAUAGAGUAAGUGUGAUGAUAUUUUACAACUUUUGUAUUUGAUCGUUUAUAUUGUUCUUGAUGUAUGCUAUUUUUUAUGUACUCGCGCUUUAUAAAAUAUCUUUAAAUACGUAUGUUAUCCCUGUAGUUAGUUAUGAGUUGAGUUGAAGUUAUUGUUAAUGGUUCUUAUAAAAUGUGAUUUGGCCACAACUACGUAAUGCGCCCGCGGUUUUGUUGAUAUACUCUCGAUUUAUAAAAUAUUUUUAUGUAAGUUAUCCCUGAACCCCC